rnacentral:rRNA from 1 species
UACGUAGGGGGCAAGCGUUGUCCGGAAUCAUUGGGCGUAAAGCGCGUGUAGGCGGCUCGAUAAGUCUGCUGUGAAAGUCCAGGGCUCAACCCUGGGAUGCCGGUGGAUACUGUCGAGCUCGAGUCCGGAAGAGGCGAGUGGAAUUCCUGGUGUAGCGGUGAAAUGCGCAGAUAUCGGGAGGAACACCGGUGGCGAAGGCGGUUCUCUGGGCCGUGUACUGACGCUGAGGAGCGAAGCAUGGGAGCGAACGGAUAGAU